UCCCUACGGGGGCAGCAGUGAGGAAUAUUGGUCAAUGGGCGGUAGCCUGAACCAGCCAAGUAGCGUGAAGGAAGACGGCCCUAUGGGUUGUAAACCUCUUUUGUCGGAGAACAAAACCCGGGACGUGUCCCGGACUGCGUGUAUCCGAAGAAAAAGCAUCGGCUAACUCCGUGCCAGCAGCCGCGGUAAUACGGAGGAUGCGAGCGUUAUCCGGAUUUAUUGGGUUUAAAGGGUGCGUAGGCGGUCCGUUAAGUCAGCGGUAAAAUUGCGGGGCUCAACCCCGUCGAGCCGUUGAAACUGGCAGA
rnacentral:rRNA from 1 species